GUGGGGAAUAUUGGACAAUGGGCGAAAGCCUGAUCCAGCCAUGCCGCGUGUGUGAAGAAGGUCUUCGGAUUGUAAAGCACUUUAAGUUGGGAGGAAGGGUAGUAACCUAAUACGUUGCUACUUUGACGUUACCGACAGAAUAAGCACCGGCUAACUUCGUGCCAGCAGCCGCGGUAAUACGGAGGGGGCUAGCGUUGUUCGGAAUUACUGGGCGUAAAGCGCACGUAGGCGGACCGGAAAGUCAGAGGUGAAAUCCCAGGGCUCAACCUGGGAACUGCCUCCAAAACUGCAUGACUAGAGUACGGUAGAGGGUAGUGGAAUUUCCUGUGUAGCGGUGAAAUGCGUAGAUAUAGGAAGGAACACCAGUGGCGAAGGCGACUACCUGGACUGAUACUGACACUGAGGUGCGAAAGCGUGGGGAGCAAACAGGAUUAGAUACCCCGGUAGUCC
rnacentral:rRNA from 1 species